rnacentral:tRNA from 1 species
GGGCUGGGGCUCAGAGGUAGAGCUCCUGCCUACCAUGCGUGAGGCACUGGGUUCGAUCCUCAGCACCACA